rnacentral:rRNA from 1 species
CCUACGGGUGGCAGCAGUGAGGAAUAUUGGUCAAUGGACGAGAGUCUGAACCAGCCAAGUAGCGUGAAGGAUGACUGCCCUAUGGGUUGUAAACUUCUUUUAUAAAGGAAUAAAACGAGGCACGUGUGCCUGUUUGCAUGUACUUUAGGAAUAAGGAUCGGCUAACUCCGUGCCAGCAGCCGCGGUAAUACGGAGGAUCCGAGCGUUAUCCGGAUUUAUUGGGUUUAAAGGGAGCGUAGAUGGGUUGUUAAGUCAGUUGUGAAAGUUUGCGGCUCAACCGGAAAAUUGCAAUUGAUACUGGCAGUCUUGAGUACAGUUGAGGUAGGCGGAAUUCGUGGUGUAGCGGUGAAAUGCUUAGAUAUCACGAAGAACCCCGAUUGCGAAGGCAGCUUACUAAACUGUGACUGACAUUGAUGCUCGAAAGUGUGGGUAUCAAACAGGAUUAGAUACCCUGGUAGUC